rnacentral:rRNA from 1 species
UCCGUAGGCGGGCAAUUAAGUCAGAGGUGAAAUCCCACAGCUCAACUGUGGAACUGCCUUUGAUACUGGUUGUCUUGAGUUACAGUGAAGUAGAUAGAAUAUGUAGUGUAGCGGUGAAAUGCAUAGAUAUUACAUAGAAUACCGAUUGGGAAGGCAGUCUACUAACUGUAUACUGACGCUAAUGGACGAAAGCGUGGGGAGCGAACAGGAUUAGAUACCCUGGUAGUCC